GCCUUCGUGAUGUAAUGGUUAACACACUCGGCGUAUAUUCGAGAGAUCACAGAUUCGAGUCCCGGCGAGGGCA
rnacentral:tRNA from 1 species